rnacentral:rRNA from 1 species
GGUGAACCUGCGGAAGGAUCAUUAACGUAUGUUUGAAGGGGUUUGAUGCUGGUCUUCCCACAAAGGGGAGACAUUGUGCGCACCCCAUCACCUUCUAAUCCCACACACCUUUGUGCACCAUGGUGGUGGCAUUUCCCACCCCAUUCCCCACACACCUAUCCCUGUCACAAUGCAUGUCUUGAUGGCUCUACGGAGUUAUAAACACAAAUACAACUUUCAACAACGGAUCUCUUGGCUUUCGCAUCGAUGAAGAACGCCGCGAAAGCGCGAAACGUAAUGUGAAUUGCAGAAUUCAGUGAAUCAUCGAAUCUUUGAACGCAUCUUGCGCUCCUUGGUAUUCCGAGGAGCAUGCCUGUUUGAGUGUCGUGAAACUCUAUCGACCCCCACUUUCCUCUGUGAUGGUGGGGUCGUCGGACUUGGACGUCUGCCGGCUUCUCUAGUCGACUCGUCUCGAAAUGCAUCAGCUGUGGUCUGUCGUACGGUCGGUCUCCCCUGAUCAACGGACGGUGUGAUAAGAAACACUUGUGGCGCCGUCUCAUCUCGAGAGCCUCCGUUUAAAAGACAAACCUCGCUUCCAAUCGUCCUCGGACAAACUUUCAUGUCAUCUGACCUCAAAUCAGGUAGGACUACCCGCUGAACUUAAGCAUAUCAAUAAGCGGAGGAAAAGAAACUAACCAGGAUUCCCCUAGUAACGGCGAGUGAAGCGGGAAGAGCUCAAAUUUGUAAUCUGGCGGUCUCAGGCCGUCCGAGUUGUAGUCUAGAGAAGCGUCUUCCGUGCCGGCCCGUGUACAAGUCCCUUGGAACAGGGCGUCAUA